GCAGCCUCGCUGCACGCUGAGUCCUCCGAGGAGAUGGAAGCUGCUGUUCAACGAGGAGGGUUGCCUAGACGCAGCUGGAAUGAUUAUGAGAGUACAGCGUGGGGACGUUGUCUUCAUUUUGGUUAUGCGAACAGGGUGUCCACCCAAAUAUCAAAGGGGAAGUGUGGGAGUUUUUGUUGGGUUGUUACGAUCCUAAAAGCACUACUGAACAGAGGAACCAGUUGUGGCAACAGAGAAGGUUCUGUUUUAUUUCACUCUUCAUUUGCAUCUUACUUUCGUCCUCUCAUCUAAGUCCAUUUUUAUCUCAUUACAGUUUCACUUUCCAUUGCUAUGCAUAAUUUUUACAAUCUAGCAAAACACUCCCCAAUCACCUUUUUUUGUCCUUAUUUUUGCAAGAGUGGCUACUUUAAGCAUAUACUAGGAUAUGGACUGGACGACUGGCUGCAGGGAGUAGUGUAUGAUGU
rnacentral:rRNA from 1 species